UAUUCUGUUCUUUUCUUCUGUUCUUCAUGUCUUUCUCCCUGUUGAACUCAAAUCCAAUGAAUAGUUUUUUUUUAUUUUUUUAUGAGGGAUUCAUGUAAAUCUACAGAGCUAGAUAAAUCGAAGAAGAGGGUGAUGAAUCUGGAAGCUAAUUGAUCUCUGAAAGAAGAAGAAAUCAGAAGAAAUAAAAAUUAGGGUUUCUGCUAGAAUUCAAUAAGUUCUAUUUGGAAGAGGAGUUCGAUUUAGAACAUGCAGAUGGAGAUUAGAGAUGGGUAUUAUGUGUUGAGAGUAAGGGAGGAGAUUUAGCUACUGAUUCUUAACUCACAUGGAAGAUUCAGUGAAUUAGGGUUUUAUGAGAACCAGUGAUGGAGAAGGGAUUAAGUUUGAGUCUGGGGUUGUUUUGGGUUCGAUGUUCUGCUGUAAUUGGGGAUUUCUUGGUUCGAUUCAAAUCAGUGGAAGAACCAUUGAUUUAUGGGUUCGAUUCAAGUUGACUCACAUUUGAGGUUUCUAUUGAAUCACCACCAAGCUUGCGAAGAUUCAAGUAGACGCUAUCACCAUCACCUCCAUAAUGUAGUUGUAUAAAAGUUAAUCAGUCAGGGAUAGGAGUGGAGGCUUGAUGAGGUUCUUUGAUAAAGCAACAACGGAAUAUAGGCACUUGACUUUUGACUUGCUGAGAUUGUUGCUGAAAUCACUAAUGGAUACUAAACCAUAGUCAUUGUACUCUUCACUUAUCUUUAUUGCACUCAGGGAUAGGAGUGAAGGCUUGAUGAGGUUCUUUGAUAAAGCAACAGCGGAAUAUAGGCACAACUGUGUUGAAGAAAGCCACCAACUCAGAUAUGUUUGUCGCGUCUGAAUGAUGCAAACCGACUUGGAUAAAGUAGAGAUGCAAAAAACAAUGGUGCUUAAUGGCGCUAAUUAAGUUUCUCUCAGGUUUUGUCUUGAUACUGUCGAGAUGAAGAAUGGGCCAUGGUCGUUCGCUGGAAUAUGUGAGUUUUAACACAUAAAGAUUUGAUUGCGUUGGUAAUAUUUUUGUGUGCAUCCAUCAUUUCGCAUUUGUUCUUGGUUGGGUUAUCUUAUCAGAUCGAAUGCGCAUGUGUUUAAACUUUCACCAUGUUCUUUUUGUUGGAAUUGGUUCUUAUGUUCCCUUUUCUAUCUGUUUGUAAGAGUGUCACCAAGGAUAUACUGUCUUGGAUAUAUAUGGACAGACUGCUGGACUCAAUUAUAAACUCUAUAAAAAUUACCAUUUGAAGGGUACUAUUUGAGUUCCGUGUAGUAUGUGGGGUACUAAAGAACACAAUUAAUUUCGUCUAGAAGUAUUUUUUUUAUUAAUUUUUGGCUCGCCUUUACCAUGUAAUCCUUUAUAGUUUCAGGGGGAUUUCCUCCAAUCGGUCAAGGUUGAUGACUGUUACUGGAGCAUAGGUACACCACUAUUUCAUGGAUCCAAAACUUACAUAAUGUGAAACUAAGUUUAUGACAGACUGAUAUUUGGUUUUUUGGCUUUUUUGCAUAGGAUUCAAAGUAAGUUCAUGUCAUUACGGAAUAUCAUUAGCAGGUCUUCAAAGUUAAAUUAAGUAUCUUUGAAAACGGUCAUGUAACAGGGUAACGACAUAUUGAGCAACAAAUGAGACAGAUGUUGAAAUUCUGCCUAUACCAUGUCUUAAGAGAGACUUUGAGACGGACAAAAAGAAAUGAGCUUGAGAUUAGAACUACUCUGCCAUUAUAGAUUUACGAUUUUGGAAGUGAGAAGCAUUCUAGCAAUAUUAUAUGGAAAAAUGUGGGCAUAAUGAAUCCCGAAAGCUCCUCUGGACAAAGUCCUGGUACGAAUGUUUCCAAACCUAAAAAAGGUUCAGCAGCUGCUGUUUUCGGAUUGGGCAUUGUCAGCUUUAGUGUAAGUAACUUGCUCUUUUGUAUGAUGGUACACAAAGUUAACUUGAUUCUUCAGUCGCCUAUUUAAACAGCUUAAGCAAUUCAGCGAACAGAUGCAGGCUUGGGAAGGCUUGGGAAUCUUCUAGGAAUCAGGGUAAUCAGAAACAUUUUUCCACCUAUUAAUCUUAGUUGAAAGUUUUAGAUUUCCAGACUUGAUUUGUGCUUCAGUUAAUGGUACAUAAAGAUUUAUAAUUUGUAUGCAGCUUACUUAAAAUGAUUGAAGUGUCAAAUGAGAUUUGUUUAUGUAUGGCUUUGGAAUUAAUGACAGUUGCAGGACAAUAUU